UACGGAGGGUGCGAGCGUUGUCCGGAAUCACUGGGCGUAAAGGGCGCGUAGGCGGCGCGGGUAGUCAACGGUGAAAGCUUGGGGCUCAACCCCGAGUCGGCCGUCGAUACUCCCGUGCUUGAGCACUGUAGAGGCAGGUGGAAUUCCGGGUGUAGCGGUGAAAUGCGUAGAGAUCCGGAAGAACACCGGUGGCGAAGGCGGCCUGCUGGGCAGUAGCUGACGCUGAGACACGAAAGCCAGGGGAGCGAACGGG
rnacentral:rRNA from 1 species